UACGUAGGGUGCGAGCGUUGUCCGGAAUUACUGGGCGUAAAGAGCUCGUAGGUGGUUUGUCGCGUUGUUCGUGAAAACUCACAACUCAAUUGUGGGCGUGCGGGCGAUACGGGCAGACUGGAGUACUGCAGGGGAGACUGGAAUUCCUGGUGUAGCGGUGGAAUGCGCAGAUAUCAAGAGGAACACCAGUGGCGAAGGCGAGUCCCUGGACGAUACCUGACACUGAGGCACGAAAGCUAGGGGAGCAAACGGG
rnacentral:rRNA from 1 species